UACGUAGGGUGCAAGCGUUAUCCGGAAUCACUGGGCGUAAAGCGUGCGUAGGCGGGAAUUUAAGUGAGAUGUUAAAUCGUGUGGCUCAACCAUAUCGAUGCAUCUCAUACUGGGUUCCUAGAGGAAGGCAGAGGCAAGUGGAAUUUGUAGUGUAGCAGUGAAAUGCGUAGAUAUUACAAGGAACACCAAUGGCGAAGGCAGCUCGCUGGGACGUGACUGACGCUGAGACGCGAAAGCGUGGGGAGCAAACAGG
rnacentral:rRNA from 1 species